rnacentral:SRP_RNA from 20 species
UCCCGGGGCCUAUGCAAAAAAGGUUUUUCGAACCCCGUCAGAUCCGGAAGGAAGCAGCGGUAGAUUAAUUCUUUUUGUGCCGUAGUGUUCCCGGGUUUUU